rnacentral:rRNA from 1 species
GACGAACGCUGGCGGCGUGCUUAACACAUGCAAGUCGAACGAUGAUGCUGGAGCUUGCUCCAGUUGAUUAGUGGCGAACGGGUGAGUAACACGUGAGUAACCUGCCCUUGACUCUGGGAUAACUGCGGGAAACUGUAGCUAAUACCGGAUACGACCCUCGGAGGCAUCUCCUGGGGGUGGAAAGAAUUUCGGGCAAGGAUGGACUCGCGGCCUAUCAGCUAGUUGGUGAGGGAAAGGCUCACCAAGGCGACGACGGGUAGCCGGCCUGAGAGGGUGGCCGGCCACACUGGGACUGAGACACGGACCAGACUCCUACGGGAGGCAGCAGUGGGGAAUAUUGCACAAUGGGCGCAAGCCUGAUGCAGCAACGCCGCGUGAGGGAUGACGGCCUUCGGGUUGUAAACCUCUUUUAGCAGGGAAGAAGCGAAAGUGACGGUACCUGCAGAAAAAGCACCGGCUAACUACGUGCCAGCCGCCGCCGUAA